UCCAACCUUUUAUUUAUUCUCUCCCUCUCCCAUUUCCUCCUUGUUACCUAGAACAGAACCCCAAUCAAACCAUUUCCCAACUGAAGAUUAUCCUAAUCAUCGGCAGCGCCAACACCGGCCACCGUCACCAGAAUAUGAACCUCUUAACUCUCAACCUUGUCUCUCGUCAGUAUUCGCCGUUGCCAGCAUCGCUACAUACUCAAGACUUAGGUUUGCUUUUUUCUGUUUUUUUGUCUAUUUUAGUUUUUAGCAUCUUUUCAUUGAUUUCUACUUUUAGUAAAUAUUCUAUGCGUCUAGCGAUUUGCGUAAAAUUUUGUUCAGUUUCUUUGGUAAUUCCUAUAAUACAAUAACCACUCCAGUAAGCACAUAGGUGUAUGUUAUGUCGUUAAGAUGGAUUAUUUUGCAUCUCCCCGUGCCUUUGAUUAAUUUAGUGGAGUGAGGGUUAGAAUAUUGUGCUAUUUUUCUAGAAAGAAGAUCUACAACUACAUCUCCGUCCCAAACAAGUAAAAAUUAAAAUCCUAUUUGUGUAAUAAGUGAGAGACUACUGGUUAUUGCUCAUUCGGCAGCAAUUGUUAUUUUGUGGCAGUUACAAAUUUAAGUUUUAACUGAUUUAUGAUUUAGGGAGAUACGAUGUCAAUGUGUACUAUGAGAAUGGUGAAGAUUGAUGAUAUGAUUGAUUUUGGCUUGUUGAAAUAUUGAUUCAUAGUCAUUUUGAUCGAUCAGUUGCAAGUGGGCUAUAUACGUUGAAAUACCAUGGCAACAUGUGUGGAUUCACAUUACGGUAAUCUAGUUUUACUUCACUUGUGAUAGUGCACGCUAAAUUACCUUCUUGUUUGAUUUGUAGGACCAUAUUGCUUUAGAAAAAUAUUUACCAGUCUUCCGUAGCAGUUUCUUGGCUAGUUUUCCAUGAGCGAUACACAAAAGGGGUUGACCAAAUACUUAGAUAUAUGAGCUUUUGAUUUUGUAAUGCAAUCUUCUAUUUUUCGUUCCUUUGAUACUUCGCUUUCAAUAAACAAGAUAAACGAUAUGAGAAGGAGAGAACCUAUCAUUGUGUCUGGUUUUUCCAAAGAAUACGAGGCAAAGGAGAGAGAUUCAGUGCACGCGUUUAGCUAUUUCAUCCCUAACAAUUGUUAAUUGUGGUGCGUGCUCUGCGAUUAUUGUAAUGAUAUUGUCUAUGCUAUUAUGUCCUACUUGACUUGCGACCAGCUUAUAUGGUCUUUGUAGAUCAAGGGAGAUAGUUGAUUUCAGAUUAUCAUAGGCCCUAACAUGGGUGGGAAGUCAACCUGCAUAUGUCAGGUGUGAGUUUUCUAAAAAUUUGUCCUUUUUUAUAUUUGUUGUUGUUGUUGUCUCUUUGGCUUUUUACAUUUAUCUCAGCAGGUCUCCAUUCAAAUGUUGUUUUUGAAUAUUUGUACUUGAUGGAAUUAAUUGAUUAAAGCUAACAGAGAAGUUGUAAUAGCAUUAGCAUGAUGAAGAAUCAUAGGGUAACACAACUGUUAGAAAAAAAGAAUCAAAGCGUAAAACAUAGUCUUCAACUGUUUCUAAUGCCUUCUGCUUUAUUUGAGUUUGAAUGAUGAUUAUAUCAACAUGUUCUUUCCAAGAGAUAUAAAUCAGAUAUUUCAUAUUUCUAUUC